UGUAGCCACCUCGCUCCGCAGACG
rnacentral:miRNA from 2 species